rnacentral:rRNA from 1 species
AGGGGGCUAGCGUUACUCGGAUUGAUUGGGCGUAAAGGGCGCGUAGGCGGCUUGUCCAGUCAGACGUGAAAUUCCUGGGCUCAACCUGGGGGCUGCGUUUGAUACGUGCGGGCUUGAGUUCGGAAGAGGGUCGUGGAAUUCCCAGUGUAGAGGUGAAAUUCGUAGAUAUUGGGAAGAACACCGGUGGCGAAGGCGGUGACCUGGUCCGAUACUGACGCUGAGGCGCGAAAGCGUGGGGAGCGAACAGG